UUUAGCCUGUAAUUGACAUUAAGGCCGAGAAAGCGUGGGGAGCCAACAGAUUAGAUACCCUGGGAAGUCCCACGCGUAAACAUGAAUGUAGGUGUUAGGGUUUCGAAACCCUUGGUGCCGAAUUAACACUUUAGCAUUCCGCCUGGGAGAACGGUCGCAAGACUGAACUCCAAGGAAUGGACGGGGACCUCGCACAAAGCAUGGAGUAUGUGGUUUAAUUCGAAGCAACGCGAGGAACCUUACAAGGUCUUGAACAUCUGAAUGACCGGUGCAGAGAUGUGCCUUUCCUUCGGGACAUUCAAGACAGGUGGUGCAUGGUUGUCGUCAGCUCGUGUCGUGAGAUGUUGGGUUAAGUCCCGCAACGAGCGCAACCCUUAUAUUUAGUUGCCAGCACUUCGGGUGGGCACUCUAGAUAGACUGCCGGUGACAAACCGGAGGAAGGUGGGGAUGACGUCAAAUCAUCAUGCCCCUUAUGACCUGGGCUACACACGUACUACAAUGGCCGGUACAACGGGCUGCGAAACCGCGAGGUGGAGCCAAUCCCAACAAAGCCGGUCUCAGUUCGGAUUGCAGGCUGCAACUCGCCUGCAUGAAGUCGGAAUUGCUAGUAAUCGCGGAUCAGCAUGCCGCGGUGAAUACGUUCCCGGGUCUUGUACACACCGCCCGUCACACCACGAGAGUUUAUAACACCCGAAGUCGGUGGGGUAACCGCAAGGAGCCAGCCGCCGAAGGUGGGAUAGAUGAUUGGGGUGAAGUCGUAACAAGGUAGCCGUAUCGGAAGGUGCGGCUGGAUCACCUCCUUUCU
rnacentral:rRNA from 1 species